rnacentral:rRNA from 1 species
AGACCCGAAACCCGGUGAUCUAGCCAUGGGCAGGUUGAAGGUUGGGUAACACUAACUGGAGGACCGAACCGACUAAUGUUGAAAAAUUAGCGGAUGACCUGUGGCUGGGGGUGAAAGGCCAAUCAAACCGGGAGAUAGCUGGUUCUCCCCGAAAGCUAUUUAGGUAGCGCCUCGUGAAUUCAUCUCCGGGGGUAGAGCACUGUUUCGGCUAGGGGGCCAUCCCGGCUUACCAACCCGAUGCAAACUGCGAAUACCGGAGAAUGUUAUCACGGGAGACACACGGCGGGUGCUAACGUCCGUCGUGAAGAGGGAAACAACCCAGACCGCCAGCUAAGGUCCCAAAGUCAUGGUUAAGUGGGAAACGAUGUGGGAAGGCCCAGACAGCCAGGAUGUUGGCUUAGAAGCAGCCAUCAUUUAAAGAAAGCGUAAUAGCUCACUGGUCGAGUCGGCCUGCGCGGAAGAUGUAACGGGGCUAAACCAUGCACCGAAGCUGCGGCAGCGACGCUGAUGCGUUGUUGGGUAGGGGAGCGUUCUGUAAGCCUGCGAAGGUGGCCUGUGAGGGUUGCUGGAGGUAUCAGAAGUGCGAAUGCUGACAUAAGUAACGAUAAAGCGGGUGAAAAGCCCGCUCGCCGGAAGACCAAGGGUUCCUGUCCAACGUUAAUCGGGGCAGGGUGAGUCGACCCCUAAGGCGAGGCCGAAAGGCGUAGUCGAUGGGAAACGGGUUAAUAUUCCCGUACUUGGUGUUACUGCGAAGGGGGGACGGAGAAGGCUAUGUUGGCCGGGCGACGGUUGUCCCGGUUUAAGCGUGUAGGUGUGUGUUCCAGGUAAAUCCGGUUCACUUUAACACUGAGGCGUGAUGACGAGGCACUACGGUGCUGAAGCAACAAAUGCCCUGCUUCCAGGAAAAGCCUCUAAGCAUCAGGUAACAUCAAAUCGUACCCCAAACCGACACAGGUGGUCAGGUAGAGAAUACCAAGGCGCUUGAGAGAACUCGGGUGAAGGAACUAGGCAAAAUGGUGCCGUAACUUCGGGAGAAGGCACGCUGACACGUAGGUGAAGUGAUU